rnacentral:lncRNA from 1 species
CGAGCGGACCCGGAAGCGGGAGUGCCAUCACCAGUGAGUGCGGGAAUCCGCCGUUUGGGCUGAGACGAUGGCAGCUGCGCCAGCAGCCCUAGCGCUGGAUCCCCAGCCCCAAGAGGAGCAAAAGGAUGCAUCCGAAUCAAGUGAGCUCAGUAGGCUUCGUGCCGAACUGGCCGGUGCACUGGCAGAAAUGGAAACCAUGAAGGCUGUAGCUGAGGUGAGCGAGAGCACCAAGGCAGAGGCGGUGGCUGCAGUGCAGAGACAGUGCCAAGAGGAGGUGGCUUCCCUGCAGGCCAUCCUGAAAGACUCCAUCAGCAGCUACGAGACCCAGAUCGCAGCCCUGAAACAGGAGCGGCAGCAGCAGCAACAGGACUCUGAGGAGAAGGAGCGAGAGCUGGGCCACCUCAAACAGCUGCUGGCCCGGGCCCACCCUUUGGACUCCUUGGAGAAGCAAAUGGAAAAGGUGGGGGUGGGAUGGCCUACCCUAUCGCUGGGGUUUGAAAUGAUAGUGAUUGUUGUCUCGUAGCCUGUCAUUGGACACCAU